rnacentral:lncRNA from 1 species
AGUCUGUAUUUUCAACUCUUCGGCUCUAGACCACCAGCACUGAGGACGAUGAAAAUUUUUUGGAUAGCAUUGAAGAGUUCAAAAGGUCGUAUGAAGUGUUUUGCCUGAAGCUUCAGUGAAGUAAAAUUGGUUUCUUCUGAGAAUAAGGUUGUUUAGGCCACCAUCCCUGGAACAAAUAUUAUCCCUUCCUGCAAUUCCAUUGUCUGCCGGUGUUACCGGCAGAGCUACUUUGAGUGCUGGGCAGGAGCUGAAGCCACGAUGGGCAGGGGGUUCAUUCUGGGGAGUGGCUGGGAGGGGAGAUUCUUAGACCUCUGAGCCUGCAGCUCUGAGCUCUGAGUUGAAGCUCUGCUCUCCAAAGCAAGGGUGGCUCAGAAGCGCUUUGGGGUCAUCUGUCUUCGCCAGCCUCACCUCACUCUUAUUCUCUGAGGAUGUUUAGGAAGAAAUGAAAAUUAUGUGGCUUAGUCUCAGCAUAGCAAGAACUGUGGGGAAGAUCAUUAACUUUCUAACCUGAUUUCUUCUGUGACUUCAGAGGCUUCCUUAACCUCCAGUUAGAAAUUUUUAUCAGGCAUAUUUGAUUAUUAUGUAUCAAGUAUCUGCCUUGUGCCAUUCGCUGUUUGAGGCAGUUAGAAACAGUGAUGGGCAUGUCAGAUGAAACCCUGCUCUGACGGACCUAAAAUCCUAGUGAGUGAUAAUUAAUAUUUAUACUUUAUCUUUUCACUUAGUGAUUAAUGUUCAAAAGAAAAGCACUCAUAUCAGAAUGAGGUACUUAUUCUUCAAAAAUUAUGAUAGAUUCUCUUUGUAUUUUAAAAAUAUUUUGGUGGUAUAUAAUAGAGUCAGUUUCUUCAACAGAGCUACAAGCUUGAUCCCCUUGUUGGGAAAUAUAUGUUACAAGGGCAACAUUAGAAACCCCCAUGAUCCAGUCACCUCCCACCAGGUCCUUCCCCCAACGUUAGGGAUUACAACUCAACAUGAGAUUUGGGUGGGACACGGAGCCAAACCAUAUCAGUUGUUAACUCAGCUCUCGUGUGCUAUAUCCUUUCCUUCGUGGGAUCCCAUUAAAAACAUUAAAUGAAGAAACAUAACAGCCAAGGGAAAGAUGGAAGGACCCUUCCACGGAAAAAAAAAAUGGAACAAAUAGCUUGAAGGAAAAUGAGAAGGAAAACCUGUUGAAGGAUGACACCGAUCUGGAAGAGGAUGCCCAGAGUGUAAAGAAGGAGAUGGGGAUGGGCAACAGGGCUCCAGAGGGCUACCAGGCUGUGCGUUCACAGGUCGGAGGAGCAGAAAAUGCGUCCAUCGCAACAAGAAGGGGGACUACUGUGAGUGGAAAGCUUGCUCAUGGAGAGGGAGACAUUCACUCCUCUCACUGUCCCCUAUCCCUGCUGUCCCAAGGAGAGAGCACCCCAGUUAUGUGAUUGAGUGUAGUAUUUUUUAAAUGUCAGUACUGGUUUGAUUUUUAACUAAGUAAAAAUGGAAAAUUAAACAAAAA